CAAGUCGAACGCGAAAGUCCCGCAAGGGAUCAGUAGAGUGGCAAACGGGUGAGUAACACGUGGGUGACCUGCCUUCGAGUGGGGGAUAACGUCCCGAAAGGGACGCUAAUACCGCAUGACAUCCUGCCUUUGAAGAGGUGGAGAUCAAAGCCGGGGAUCGCAAGACCUGGCGCUUGGAGAGGGGCCCGCGUCCGAUUAGCUAGUUGGUGGGGUAAUGGCUCACCAAGGCUUCGAUCGGUAUCCGGCCUGAGAGGGCGGACGGACACACUGGGACUGAGACACGGCCCAGACUCCUACGGGAGGCAGCAGUGGGGAAUUGUUCGCAAUGGGCGCAAGCCUGACGACGCAACGCCGCGUGGAGGAUGAAGAUCUUCGGGUCGUAAACUCCUUUCGAUCGAGACGAACGGCCCUUGGGUUAACAGCCUGAGGGAGUGACGGUACCGAGAGAAGAAGCCCCGGCUAACUCCGUGCCAGCAGCCGCGGUAAUACGGGGGGGGCAAGCGUUGUUCGGAAUUACUGGGCGUAAAGGGCUCGUAGGCGGCCAACUAAGUCAGACGUGAAAUCCCUCGGCUUAACCGGGGAACUGCGUCUGAUACUGGAUGGCUUGAGUUCGGGAGAGGGAUGCGGAAUUCCAGGUGUAGCGGUGAAAUGCGUAGAUAUCUGGAGGAACACCGGUGGCGAAGGCGGCAUCCUGGACCGACACUGACGCUGAGGAGCGAAAGCCAGGGGAGCAAACGGGAUUAGAUACCCCGGUAGUCCUGGCCCUAAACGAUGAAUGCUUGGUGUGGCGGGUAUCGAUCCCUGCCGUGCCGAAGCUAACGCAUUAAGCAUUCCGCCUGGGGAGUACGGUCGCAA
rnacentral:rRNA from 1 species